rnacentral:sRNA from 1 species
AAAAAAAUGAACAAAA